rnacentral:rRNA from 1 species
GACGAACGCUGGCGGCGUGCCUAACACAUGCAAGUCGAACGAGGUCCAUGCAGUGGCAACACUGCGGAAGACCUAGUGGCGAACGGGUGAGUAACACGUGAGGAACCUGCCCCGAAGACCGGGAUAACCCUCCGAAAGGAGAGCUAAUACCGGAUACCCCCACCGGAUCGCAUGAUCUGGUGAGGAAAUGGAUUCCGCUUCGGGAGGGCCUCGCGGCCUAUCAGCUAGUUGGUGGGGUAACGGCCCACCAAGGCAUCGACGGGUAGCUGGUCUGAGAGGACGAUCAGCCACACUGGGACUGAGACACGGCCCAGACUCCUACGGGAGGCAGCAGUGGGGAAUCUUGCGCAAUGGGCGAAAGCCUGACGCAGCAACGCCGCGUGGGGGAUGAAGGCUCUCGGGUUGUAAACCCCUUCAGCAGGGACGAAUCAAGACGGUACCUGCAGAAGAAGCCCGGCUAACUACGUGCCAGCAGCCGCGGUAAU